rnacentral:rRNA from 1 species
AUGUCUAAUGUUUUUUCGCCUGGGGAAUUAAUCGGAAUAUUGCAAGCGGAACGAGCAGGGCGAGCUUUGGAUGAAUCGAUCUAUUAUCGGGCAAUCUUAUUUGGAAUAACAAGGGCUUCCCUGAAUACCCAAAGUUUCAUAUCUGAAGCAAGUUUUCAAGAAACUGCUCGAGUUUUAGCAAAAGCUGCCCUACGAGGUCGCAUUGAUUGGUUGAAAGGCUUGAAAGAAAACGUAGUUGGGGGGAUUAUACCUGUUACCGGAUUCAAAAAAAUUGUGCAUCAUUCCCCACAAGACAAGAACCUUUAUUUCGAAGAAAAAAAUCUAUUCGCGUCAGAAAUGAGAGAUUUUUUUCUUCAUACAGAAUUAGUUUCUUCAGAUUCUGACGUAACAAACAAUUUUUAUGAGACAUAA